CACUUUUGACUCGCUUUUGACAGCAUUUGAACUAUCUUUUCUUGUAUAAUGGACAACUUAAGAGUUGUCUAAAGCCCUGCCAUUCAUGGUGACUUCAAAUACUAUGCUAAAAGUCCUUUUUAUGGACUGUUUUGAACACAGAUCAUCCACAUACUUCAUUCAAAUCCAGCCAUCGCUUUUCCUUGAGUUUACAGGUCACAGUUGACACUUGGUGUUCUUUGAUUGGCUGUGAAUGACGCAAUGACUUCUAUUUCGGUAUUUUGCUCCCACACAUUUUUAUCAUCAGUCCUCUCACCUGUAAAGAUAAACACAUAUCACCCGCAUGAUAACUUUGAGACUAACUUUCUCUCAGCUUUCCCUUUUGAGUUAGUAAGUAUUAAACAAAAAUGAGUGUUUGUGUUUAUGUUGACGUCUCACGCACAUACUAGUUCCACACCUUUGUUUUCAAAAAAGGGGAUCCAUAGUUUGUAUGUCUUAGCGUUACAAACGAGUUCCUCUCUUUUAGGGGAUCAAUAGUUUGAAUAU